GAAAAGUAAAGGACUAAAUUGUAAAGUUUAGUCACAUUUUGUAUCGAGUACUUAUCUAGCCACUCGGGGAUCGAAGGAAACGUCGGAGGCCGAUCACACUAUCAAAGAAAUAACUCGGUAUAAUUAGACGUUUUGUUUUGUGUAUGGCAUGUAUAGAAACUUAGCCACUUUUGGUAUAAUAUGAACAAUGAAUGAUGUCUAAAUACUUGCUAGUGAUUAGCUAAUAAAAAUGGCCGAUGAUAUGCAUGUUUAUUAAUAUGUAUGAUUGAAUGGUGAUUAUCACAUGAAAAUUAUGAAAAAUGUGAAAGUAACCUAAAAA